UACAGAGGGGGCAAGCGUUGUUCGGAAUUACUGGGCGUAAAGGGCGCGUAGGUGGCCUCCUAAGUCGAACGUGAAAUCCCUGGGCUUAACCCAGGAACUGCGUCCGAGACUGGGAGGCUUGAAUCCGGGAGAGGGAUGCGGAAUUCCAGGUGUAGCGGUGAAAUGCGUAGAUAUCUGGAGGAACACCGGUGGCGAAGGCGGCAUCCUGGACCGGUAUUGACACUGAGGCGCGAAAGCCAGGGGAGCAAACGGG
rnacentral:rRNA from 1 species